AUUGAACGCUGGCGGCAUGCUUUACACAUGCAAGUCGAACGGCAGCGCGGGCUUUGGCCUGGCGGCGAGUGGCGAACGGGUGAGUAAUACAUCGGAACGUGCCCAGUAGUGGGGGAUAGCUCGGCGAAAGCCGGAUUAAUACCGCAUACGACCUGAGGGUGAAAGCGGGGGAUCUUCGGACCUCGCGCUAUUGGAGCGGCCGAUGGCAGAUUAGCUAGUUGGUGGGGUAAAGGCCUACCAAGGCGACGAUCUGUAGCUGGUCUGAGAGGACGACCAGCCACACUGGGACUGAGACACGGCCCAGACUCCUACGGGAGGCAGCAGUGGGGAAUUUUGGACAAAGGGCGAAAGCCUGAUCCAGCAAUGCCGCGUGUGUGAUGAAGGCCUUCGGGUUGUAAAGCACUUUUGGCGGGAACGAAAAGGACUGUGCCAAUACCACGGUUCGAUGACGGUACCCGCAGAAUAAGCACCGGCUAACUACGUG
rnacentral:rRNA from 1 species